CGAAGCAAUAUACUAGAGACCAGAUAAUGAUGGGAAAUAGAGGAUACGUAUCGUGGGGUUGCUGAGCUGUGGGCCAGGAAAUGGCGGAAUGACGGCCACCGUUACCCCGUCGGAGUUGAUCCGUGGCUCGGGACGCCCGCCGGCCGCCGCCGUCCUGAUCCGUGGAACAGGAAAAACAGUUCCCCCUCCCCCCCACACCCGCCACAAGCAAGGUCAACAUCCAAGGAUCUCUGCCGGCGUGCGAAGGAGCAUCCCGAGAUCUGGCUCAUGGAGUUCGUGAUGCAACCAAUACAAAGAUCCCCUUUGAGUGAGGAGGCGGAUGGAAGUGUAGCGCCGAUGGAUCUGCUGGCUUUCGGGACGGUGGGCUCUCUGAGGGAAGUGGAUGAAGCGACGGCCGCAGCCUUGAGUGAAGACCCGCGGAUCUAUGAAGAAGAAACAAGCGUUGACUCAAGACGGUAGAGCUGGCCGCAGGUGUUGGUCUGCUGGAGAUUUCAAUCGGCAAGUUCUGAUCCGAAUAAUACAUUAUGAGUUUCUGGCUCUGAGCCUCUAAAAAUCGGGGUAAGAGUACUUGCAUACAGCUAUGAUAUUCUUCGUUAGAGUACAGAUGUGAGUGCACUUAUUUGUACAAAUUAGUCAUGAAAUGGUGAACAUCAGCGACUUAUAAGUGUGGAUUACGGGUAGGUGAAGUGUUGGAAAAAGUACUUGGGCAAUUUGUACAGCUAUGUCUUGUUCUAAUUUCACUGUUUGUAAGCAGAACAUAGUUUCUGUGCAGUACAUAAAAAUGUUUGAUGUUGCUGAAUUGUGGGAAAACUAUAUACUGGCGAUUCCACAUGCACAUUGAUGUGUACAUCAAGGAUCUCGUGAAGCACUCGGGCAAAACACCAUCAACCUGGGUAAAAUAUACAACAUUAUCACUAGUUUCAUUCACUAAGCGUAUGCUGAGGUCCAUGUGUGGUAGCUGAGUCGGGAGCAGGCACAGAUGUCAUGAGGAUGAUGGAGGUGUUCACCGAAUUAGGAGCUAAUGAUCCGCACUUCGCUUAUCGGGUCCAAGCCGACAUGGAGAGAUGUGCGGUAUACCAAGUUGAAGAGUUGGAGAAGAGCAGGUUAUAUGUUGUGAUACACACAUAGGCGGGGCGGAGGGAAAAGUGGUGCAAGGUAUCCUACAAGGUGACAAUGCUUGAUGGUGGGGAAGGGUUCGGUUGCAAAUGUGACCAGUUUGCUCAUAUGGCCUUCUCUACAGUCACAUUCCGAAGCCUUCUAGAGUUUAUCCAUGUGAAACAGAUGCCGACAAAACAUUUGUGGAAAGAUAGACAAGGGAUGCUCGCGGCAAGCUACCUGCACAUCUAGCACAGUAUCAAAUCCUUUCUCUUACAGACAGUUCAAUUUGUACCAGCAGAUAAUGGAGCUUGUCCGUCUAGGAGGCACGUGCGGACGCAUACGACCAGCUAAAUGCAUUGUUCAUGGCCAAUCUUCUGGAGAUGCAAAUCUUCGCUGAGUUGAGAGAUGGGCUAGGAUUGCAUCUAUUUUUAGGUCCUUUCAGGUGAAAAUCUGAGCUACUAUUUUGUUUUCUUGAAGAGCAUCAAGUUUAUGAUCAAGAACGCCCUCAAUCUGGUCGGUCCAUUUCUUGGAUUGCAUCUAUUUUUAGGUCCAUCACUUCAAUCUGCCAGGUUUUAUUGCAACCGAACAGAUGUUGUUCCUCCUAACUGAACUUAAAUUUACGUGUGCUUUAAGAGCAGAUAUUAGUUAGUUUCUGAUACUCAUGAUUAAUGGAAAAUUCCAUCUAGUGAUGCGUCCA